rnacentral:rRNA from 1 species
AGAGUUUGAUCAUGGCUCAGGACGAACGCUGGCGGCGUGCUUAACACAUGCAAGUCGAACGGUGACGAUUGGAGCUUGCUCUGAUCUGAUCAGUGGCGAACGGGUGAGUAACACGUGGGUAAUCAACCCUUGACACUGGGAUAGCCCGGGGAAACCCGGAUUAAUACCGGAUACUCCAUCUGGCUUUCGGGCCGGCUGGAAAAGGUAGCUUCGGCCUCCGGUCAGGGACGAGCCCGCGGCGGAUUAGCUUGUUGGCGGGGUAAAAGCCCACCAAGGCGACGAUCCGUAGCUGGUCUGAGAGGACGAUCAGCCACACUGGGACUGAGACACGGCCCAGACUCCUACGGGAGGCAGCAGUUAGGAAUUUUGGGCAAUGGGCGAAAGCCUGACCCAGCAACGCCGCGUGGGUGACGAAGGCCUUCGGGUUGUAAAGCCCUUUUCUGGGGGAAGAUGAUGACGGUACCCCAGGAAGAAGCACCGGCUAACUACGUGCCAGCAGCCGCGGUAAUAC